CAGCUUAUGACACUCCCUCCCUCAGGGUUUAGUGAAGUAUCUGACAGUGAAAAUGUCUCAGUAAGAAGAGGAAGCAUCAUGAAGAGGCUAGCAGGCGCUGUGCUGGGGCUUUUAUUUGCCCAGGUUUGCUCUGUGCGAGGGGUGGAUGUGGAGCAGAGUCCCGCAGCCCUGAGUCUCCAGGAGGGAGCCAGCCACGUGCUGAGGUGUAAUUUUUCUGCCUCUGUGACCGAUGUACACUGGUAUCUUCAGAACCCUGGGGGCCGCAUCGUCCACCUGUUUUACAUUCCUUCAGGAACAAAGCAGGAAGGAAGAUUAAACGCCACAACAAUCCGUAAAGAACGCCGCAGCUCACUGCACAUUUCCUCUUCGCGGACCACAGACGCGGGCACUUACUUCUGCGCUGCGCAGCACGGUGCUCCCCAGGCACCUGCGGCCUCUACAGGAACCCUCCCGAGGCCUCAGCCCCUCCUGCAGCCUCAGUCACACCGUGGGCCCCACAGGGCAUUCGCAGUGCUGACUGUCUCUUACCUGCACUGGUACAGUUUAAUCACAGACACUUUCCGCCUACAGAUUGUGAACUUCGGUCUUUGUCUUCCUUUCUCAACCUGUAUCUCCUUCUGCACUAGAGACUUCUAACUUGGAACUAGCAGAAUAGCUGAUAAGGGGACAAAAUAAAAUAAAUAUUCAACCACAGUAUGCUGAUCUCAAAAGUGGUAAAAAGUGAGAACAAUUCAGAGAAAAAAAUAACUCCAAUAAAGUUGUUAUCCUGAUUAGUUUGAUGUCUCAAGAAUGUUCAGAUCUGCCUCACCAGAAUGUGUCCCCAAAGACACUUGCAUCAUCCCAUCCUACGAGUGCAGCAAAGUGAGCAACAACAAUAAACCUUACUCAAUGUUUAAUAUGAGCUUGAUAACUUAGAAGAAAAUUAUUCUAAAUGCAAGAAAUCUUAAAUCUAUUUCCAUAGUCAAGGUCUUGGAAGAGUUGAUUGCUUCUUGAGAUCUAAGGAAUAAUCCAUUUCCUUGCCUUCUUUAGCUUUUGAAGGCCAACUAAAUUCUUUGGUUCGUGACUCCUUCUUGAAUCACUAGAACUUCUUGCUUCCCUCACCGUAGCUCCUUCCUCUUUUGGAGUCAAAUAUCUUUCUGUCUCUGUCCUAUAAGGUAUAAAAAAUAUUAAACAGAAAUCUCAGUUAAAUAGAGUUGGGAGACAGAGGGAGCUCUCGUGACCUGUGGACAUAGUGGAGGGCAAGGGGAAGAUGUGGAUGCCUCUU